rnacentral:lncRNA from 1 species
GCAGAAAGAUUUCUGACGGGAGUCUUCUUUGUUUCUAGUCAGAAAAAGAAAGAAAAAAAAAAUCUGGAGCCGAUUGAGGAGGAAGACUCCCGUCGGGAGUUUCUUUGUUUCUGGCUCUAUAAAACGCUCUGCUCCAAAACCCCAUCCCGUUGGACAGGAGUCUUCUUUAUUUCCGGCUCUAUGAAACGCUCUGCUCCAAAACCCCUUCCCGUUGCUCUGCUCCAAAACCCCG